rnacentral:rRNA from 1 species
CCGGCUAAAAGUCGGAGGAAGGUGGGGAUGACGUCAAAUCAUCAUGCCCCUUAUGGACCUGGGCUACACACGUGCUACAAUGGGCGGUACAAAGGGUCGCGAACCCGCGAGGGGGAGCCAAUCCCAAAAAGCCGCUCUCAGUUCGGAUUGCAGGCUGCAACUCGCCUGCAUGAAGCCGGAAUCGCUAGUAAUCGCGGAUCAGCAUGCCGCGGUGAAUACGUUCCCGGGCCUU